GUCCACGCCCUAAACGAUGUCAACUAGGUGUCGGGAGCGCAAGUUCUUGGUACCGCAGCUAACGCGUGAAGUUGACCGCCUGGGGAGUACGGUCGCAAGAUUAAAACUCAAAGGAAUUGACGGGGACCCGCACAAGCGGUGGAUGAUGUGGAUUAAUUCGAUGCAACGCGAACAACCUUACCUACCCUUGACAUGUCCGGAAGGCUGCUGAAAGGUGGCUGUGCCCGCAAGGGAACUGGAACACAGGUGCUGCAUGGCUGUCGU
rnacentral:rRNA from 1 species